rnacentral:rRNA from 1 species
CCCUUAGAUGUUCUGGGCCGCACGCGCGCUACACUGACGAAGUCAGCGAGCAUCUCCUACGCCGAAAGGUGCAGGGAAUCUUGUGAAACUUUGUCGUGCUGGGGAUUGAUUUUUGAAAUUCUUGAUCAUCAACGAGGAAUUCCUAGUAAGCGCAAGUCAGCAGCUUGCGUUGAUUACGUCCCUGCCCUUUGUACACACCGCCCGUCGCUACUACCGAUUGAAUGGUUUAGUGAGAUUUUUGGACUGGAACUCUCUUGUUCAGCAAUGAACGAGAGGGACUCUGGGAAGCUAUUCUAACUGUAUCAUUUAGAGGAAGUAAAAGUCGUAACA